CUUCUCUCCAGUUUGCUCCUAACUGCCUGCACUUUCACCUCGCUUCUGGGCACUGCUCCCGGGCUCUGGCGGUGCUUUGGCCCCAUGUCCAGGGAGCCUGACCCGCCUGGUGGCUGUGAUUCCCUGGGACAGCCCCUGGGUGACCACUGUGAGUCUGAGCUCUUGCCUUGGGGCAGGACGAACUGGGUGCUCCUCAGACCCAGAUCCGGCUGAGGCUGGGAUAUUGGCUCGAGUGACACCUGGGCUUGGCUUCCUUCCCUGCCCUGUCCUGUCUCCCCUGUGCAGCCUCCCCUGAAGCGCGGGUCUACAAACCUCAUCCCAGGACCCGUUUCUAGGAGACAGUGAGGCUAAGACCCAGUGCCUGCCCGAUGCAUUAACAGAUGGAAUCCUCCUGAGGACCCUAGGAAGCAGGGAGAAACUCUCCACGGGUGCUGAGAUGUCUUUGACACCUCGCUGAGUAAGGUUGGCAGAGCUUCCUUCACAACAGCCGGAAACGGUUUCCAUUGAAAACCUUCCUCAGGCAGCAGGACAGAAAGCAGACUUGGGUGACACCUUUUGUUUCUCUGUGUUCACUUUCACCAUCACCUACUCUUCCGACACACACAGGAAGAAUGCCAUGGGAACAUGAAAGCAGAAAUCAGGGUGACGUAUCCGCCAGCCAAGGGAUGCGAAAGAUUGCCAGCGAAGUACCAGAAGCUAGGGAAGAGGCCAGGAACAGAUUCCCACAGAAUGAACCAACCCUGCUGGCCCUUUGAUCUCAGACUUCUGGCCUGCAGAACUGUGAGAGAAUACAUUUCUGUUGUGUAAGCUGCCCCAUUUGUGGUACUUUGUUACGGCAGCCAGGGGAGACUAACGUACCCAACAUUUCAGUCACAAGGACAUUUAUUGAAAAGGCAGCCCAGACCCAUAUCAUCCAUUUCCUUCCUUCCUGUAGCUCCUCAUAUCCGUUAGGGAUGCCUGUUACCUGCAAGUUGCAGAAAGCUUAACUAUCAGUGGCCUGAACAAAAUGGGAGUUUUGUUUUCCUCCUCUAAAAAGAAACCUGGCUAAAAAUCAUACAGUCACAUCAAUAGAUGCAGAAACAGUGUUUGGCAAACUCCAACACCUAUCCCCGACAAAAACUCCCAGCAAACUAGGAGUAAAGAGGAACUUCAACUUGAUAAAGAACAUUUCCGAUAAUCCAAUAGCUAACAUCUCACUUAAUGGUGAGAAACUAGGUUCUUUCCCCGUAAGGUCAGGAACAAGGCAAGGACAUUCACUCUCACCACUCCUUUUCAAGGUCAUACUGGAAAUCAUAGCUAAUGCCAUAAGACAAGUAAGAAAAGGUAUACAGAUUGAGAAGGAAGAAAUAAAACUGUCUUUCUUCACAGAUGACAUGACUGUUUAGAAAAUCCCAAAGAUUCAAAACAAUGACAAAAAACACUAGAAUGAAUAAGUGAUUAUAGCAAGGUUGCAGGAUACAAGGUAACUAUACAAAAGUCAAUUGCUUUCCUACAUAUCAGCAAUGAGCAAGUAGAAUUGGAUAUUUAAAGAAGCCUGGCAAAAGCUGUUUUAGCAACCAGGCCAUGUCAGGGCCUCAGCAGUUCUUAUACCUUUCUCUGUAGUGCCAACAUGCCUGCCAAAGCUCCAGAACAUUCCAGACAGGAAUGUGCAGGGAGGGAGGAGAGUAGAUGCUGUUGGUGCUCACUAAGCCUCCUCAGGAGAGACUGCUUGAGAGUUUAACACCCUCAACCGAUGACAAGUGGGGAUUGAGUGAAUAAAUACCCCAACUAUCUCACUCUUCAGGCACAUAACUCUGAGCUUGUCUACGCUGUCUCUUGGUGUUCCUCAGAAGAAUUGCUUCUAUAAAGUGGGAUUGGUGAUAGUCCUUUCUUCAUAGGGUUGGUGUGAGAGCUGCUGCAUAUAAACCACUGUGCAAAGAGCCAGGCAUACAGUAAGUGCUAAAUAAAUGCCUGUGACUGUGAGCACUCACUCAGUAUGGUUGGGGAGCAGAAGAGAGGCCAGUGUAGCUGGAGCUGGACCAAGGCCUAAGGGCAGAUGAGACCAUGGGCAUCUUGGGGCCAUCUGUGGUGACCCUUGACCUAAGAAGGUCCACAGACUCAUUUUAAAGGAAGGCCACAGCUAGACUCAAUCCCUAGGCAGAGUAGGCUAAGAGUGGGAAAACUCUGGACUUGCCAAGGUUCUGUUUCCACUGAAUGGGGCACAAAGCAGAAAUUUAGUUGAAUUAUAGAAAACUCUAGAGAGUUCUAGAAAAAAACCUGUAGCUGAUGUGUUUGGAGUGGGGGUGGGACUCUUCCAGAGCUAUGCUUUGGGCCAUCAAGCCACAAGGGCCAAGUUUUUUGAGAUUUUACAAGCCAGAGACUCGGGCCUCUGGUCUUCAGGUCAAAAUCCCCCCACUGCAGCCUGGCUCUCUGUAAAGCCUGCCUCCAGCGUGGAAACGGGAAGAUGCAAUGUCUUAGUGGUUAAGCCAUGGAUGGCCACUAGUGGCCCUUGUCCUGGGCCCUUAUCCUUGGUGUGAGAUCUGGAAUCUCUCUCACAGCCCCCGCUUGGUGUCUUCGUGGGUGGCAGCCUGUUGUCAUGGAGGAAGCUGGGAUGCAGUUGUGGAUGAGUGAAUUUAUGAUGGGGAAAUUUAACACAGGGCUGAUUCAUGGCUUUUCAUCCCAGGCCUGGGGGAAGCUCAGACCCCUGUACUCCGGCUGCCUUCAUUUAUUUCAGACUCGUGUGUGAAGAGGCCGGGGGUGGGAGAAGGGUGAAGAAAAGGUUGAACACCAGGCAUGGGGCGAGAGCGCCUUCACCCACCAGGCUCCUCAGGAACCCAGUCCUGGGAAAUGGCCUUGCAGAGGGAACAGUCGCAGCUGGGUUCCAUUCUCCAGUUUCUAAAAGGAGGCAGGAAAAAAAUCAUUCUGCACAUUUGCAGUCGUCUCCCUGCCUGGCUUUUUUUUUUCUUUCCUGCAAGCACAGAGGACGUGGUCCCUGUGUCCUGCCACAGCGCGUGGGGGCUCGUUAAUUAAAGAGCCGAGCAGAUGUCACUGUUCAUUAAGCGCGGCCGCGUGGCUCCUUCUGCAGACACUGCCGCCCUUUGCGCUCACUACUUAAUGACACCGCGUCUCCCUGGCUGCCCCAGCCCUGGAGAAGAGCAGGCAAGGCUGCGUUUCCCCCUAAUUUGGCGGGGUGGGGGGCCUCCGCCCCACUGCGUCCUUGUCGGCUGGGGCGCUGCAGCCAGACACAAGGUGAUGGAGACUUUUAAUUUUCAUCAUGCCUAUCCGUCGGAGCUCCGUUUUAAAUCACUUUAACGGCAGAUUAAAAAUAUAUAAGCUGAUAUUAGAGGACAUUCUUAGUGCCUUUAUAAAUAUCUUAAAUCAAAAGUUUGGCUUAAUUGCACUUGAAUGGGUACAGGAG
rnacentral:lncRNA from 10 species